UACGAAGGGGGCUAGCGUUGCUCGGAAUCACUGGGCGUAAAGCGCACGUAGGCGGCUUCUUAAGUCAGGGGUGAAAUCCUGGAGCUCAACUCCAGAACUGCCCUUGAUACUGAGGAGCUCGAGUCCGGAAGAGGUGAGUGGAACUCCGAGUGUAGAGGUGAAAUUCGUAGAUGUUCGGAAGAACACCAGUGGCGAAGGCGGCUCACUGGUCCGGUACUGACGCUGAGGUGCGAAAGCGUGGGGAGCAAACAGG
rnacentral:rRNA from 1 species